AAUAGGGAAAGAAAAACCCAACAAGGAUUGCAGGAGACUCUGGCCUCUGAUAUCACUGAUGUCCAGAAACAAGAUUCUGAGUGGGGACACAGCCUGCCAGGGCGAAUUGUCCCACCCCUGCAGCACAACUCACCUCCACCUAAGGAGCGAGCAGCCACCGGCUUCUUUGGGUUUCUAAGAAGCCAUCAUCUGUCACAUGCCAGAGGGUGCCCCUCAAGAGUGGGAGAGCAGGGGCUGAACUGCUGAGUUCCCGCUGCGUCCUGUUGCUAUGCUGCCUGCACCCUUGGUGGGGAGAAGAGAAGAGGUGGACUGCUGCGGAGGACCUGGCAAACA
rnacentral:lncRNA from 10 species